rnacentral:rRNA from 1 species
UACGUAGGGUGCGAGCGUUAAUCGGAAUUACUGGGCGUAAAGCGUGCGCAGGCGGUUAUGUAAGACGGUUGUGAAAUCCCCGGGCUCAACCUGGGAAUUGCAUCUGUGACUGCAUAGCUAGAGUACGGUAGAGGGGGAUGGAAUUCCGCGUGUAGCAGUGAAAUGCGUAGAUAUGCGGAGGAACACCGAUGGCGAAGGCAGCCCCCUGGGUCAAGAUUGACGCUCAUGCACGAAAGCGUGGGGAGCAAACAGG